rnacentral:lncRNA from 1 species
UGGAGGUGCGGAAAAGCAGAAAUCUAUCGGCAAUGCAUUGUGGAAUGCAAGGGUAUCUAUCAACAUUAGCAUCACCCAAGGUUGCUGAAGUGGUGAACCAGUUUCCAGUAAAAGUGACCUUGAAUGAAGUACCCAGGCUAAGUACAUGGCCUUCGCAGUUUCAAGAUAUAGGUGCUAAGGAAGGCCAUGUGGCUCUUUUCUUCUUUGCCAAGGACAUCGUGAGGUGAAUUCAGAUCAUAUGUUUAUUCAUGUUUUAGUUUCUUCAAUGCUUUAUAUCCUAACGUAAUUGUUGCCUGUUACGCACAGUUAUGAGAGAAGUUACAAGCCCCUAGUAGAUAACAUGAUCCAGAAAGAUUUAGCUCUAAAAGGAAGCCUCGAGGGUGUUGAGCUUUUGAUUUUUGCCUCCAAUCAGCUUCCUCGGAACUGUCAGCGUAAGAACUCUUUACAUCAUGAACAUACAUUUGUUGCAAGUUUCACUGUUCUCAGUAGGGUUGAACUUCUGUAUUAAGUGCUUAGAGGUGCUAUAUCCUUGGCGUUUACAGGUUGGAACAUGUUCUUUUUCCUUUGGGGUGUAUUUCGAGGAAAAAACAAGAAAUGUUCUGAUCCACUCAAGAACAAACCUCUUCCGGCGUCUAAUGUUUUGCCAAAUAUGGGGAGAGUGUUUUCUACACGUGAGGGCUUUUACAAUGAAAAUCCAAGCAACAGAGAGUCCUUGCAAUCGUGCAUGAAGGUUGGUUAUUCUAGUCCUCUAAUUCACACCUGCCAUCUGUCUCUCGUUCUCUAUCACACCUCUAGUUAUACGGUUCGUUUCUGAAUCACGUAUGCCGUUUGUUUUUAUGCUCUAGUUAUGUAAAUAUCUUGCUCGUUAUCUAUUUUAGUUAUUAAGAGUGUUCAGGACCGUUUUGGACAGUUGCUAGGUUUAUCUAAAUAGUGUGCACAUAUUUGAUGGAUUCAUGGGUUUGAACAGGAGGAGAAUGCUAAAGAGGGUGAAGCGGGCGGUGGAGAUAGUGGAGCGGUGGAAGAAACUGAGGAAGGAGAGAUAGGUUCUUGCCCACAGUUGAAGGAUGAGAAGAUUUCAGGUAACAAUAAGGGUUUGCUUUCGGCUGUAAUGAGGUCAGGAAACAGAACAAACUUUUAGUUGUGUUCAUGAAUUGUUUGUUAUUGGAAUUGACAGGGCCUAGGAGAGUAAAUUCAUCUGACGUGAACCAUAAUGUGGACAUGGAUGAUCUGAAUAGUGAAGGGUUGUGUGAAGGACCAGCGAAUAAAAAGCUGAAGACAGGCACAGGAGUAGAAACCGAAUGUAACAUAUUUAGGAGGGAUACAUCUGGUCCCCGUCCCCGUGAGGAGGAAAAUGUGAUCAAGAAGAACCCAGUUGCAACGGAAAGGAUCGUGUUCCCUUUGGAUUUGAAUGAUGGAAAGGAAGAGGAUACUGUAAUGGUAGACAAUAAUCCAAGAGCACUAGGCGAUGACAAGAACAAACAAAGACCACUCGGUAUGGUCCCAAAUCUUGAGCUGGCUCUAGGAGAGGAUGAAACUACUACAACCACAGGAGUCCUUUUGCCCUUCAUGGCUGGACCUAGCGCCAGUGAAAAACAUAGAAGUAGCAAUAGCCAGAAGGCAGAAGAAGAGAAUGCAGCUUCUCUCUCACUAUCCUUGUCCUUCUCAUCCUUGGAGAAGGAACAACAACAACAACAAAGACAACAGCAGAAUCAGAGACGAGUAUUAAAUAAUCCAGGAAAUCUAUACUAUACUAAAAGGGGGAUAUAAGCCAUGGAGAGGGUGUCCACAUAGGAUAGAAAAAUCAACCAAUCAGAAAACCCGAAAUUGCCAUGUCAUCUCAUUUAUUUUUCGUAAAAAAUAAAAAAACAAUGCAAAGGUGAAAAUCGAACCCGGGUUAGUAUGAUAUAUAUAUAGGACAAUUACAUGAAUAAUCUUGCUUGGAUAGUAUCAUGAAUGUUUUAGUUGUUAGUCGAUAUGUGAGCAACAAAAAGUCGUUAACUUUUCAUGUAAAGCUGCUUCCUUUUUAUUGAUUACAUUCUCUCUUUUGUUAUUCAUGAAGGCUGAUAGAAGAGAUGGGAAUCGUUACAUUGGUCUGACAGGUCGUUAUAAAUUGGAGUCUGGAACUUGUAAUGUCUGCUCUGCUCCUUGUUCGUCUUGUGUGCAUCGUAAUGCGGGUUCAGUGUCAGAAGAGUCUCCGGGUGAAAACUCCCAUGGUGUAGUGGCGAGCCAGUGUUCUUUCAACGAGGGAGAUCUAUUGCGUUCUUCUCGCCUUAAUCUUGUUCAUGAUACUUCCUCUGAGCAUUCUGAGAGUCAAGAAGUUGUAAGGUCUUCUAAUCAUCAAGUCAAGAAAAGUGUUUUAGUUGAAAGCUCUACGCACUCAGUAAUUGGGAUGGUUGGGGAAUCGGGAGAGAAUAUUGUCUUAAAUAAGGGAGAGGAACCAAACACAUUAGCUAUGUCUGACUGUGAGAGUGCUGAUUCUGAACCGCAGGAAGUUGAUGUAAGUAAUGCUUUUUUGUUGCAAUAUUUUACUUUCAUCUCGCAGUUACAGAAAUCUCAAGUGAAAAUGUUGUCUUUGGUGUUGAGCAGGUGAAAAUUUGUGACACUUGUGGAGAUGCGGGCCGUGAGGAUUUGCUUGCUAUCUGCAGCAGAUGCAGUGAUGGUGCAGAACACACGUAAGCCUGUUUCAGUUAGUUCUUUUUGGAGUUUGAAUAUCAUAUUGUUAAUAGCGCAGCGCUUUAUUUGCUAGUGAUAUAGUUGCGUUUUCUUACUUUUAGCUAUUGCAUGCGAGUAAUGCUUAAAAAAGUUCCAGCGGGUGAUUGGCUUUGUGAAGAAUGCAAGUUUGCUGAGCAAGCAGAAAAGCAGAAGCGAGACAAAGGUGAAUAAUUUACCAUGCAUGUAGUGAAUUAGCGGAACUUGUCUUUCUCCUUUUUAUCUAAUGAAUUUGAGUUGAAACAUGCAGAAUCUAAGAGAAAGCAAGAAAGUGAGGCAAAUUUGAAUACACAGAGCUCCAGCAAAAGGCCCAUAGAUAGACCUGAGGCAGCUCCAGAUGCUAAAAGACAAGCAUUUGAGGCUCCAACAGGUUCACCAAAAAAACCUGUUCUCCCCAGGUUGCCCACUUUUUCCCGGGAAACAUCAUUUAAGCGCUUAGAGAAGACAACGAGAAAGCUAGCUCAUCACUCAUCUUUCAAUAGCCACUCCAGUGAUGACACAGAAAGCACACGAUCCACUGACUCACAGGUCCAAUCUCCUAAAGGUAGGAUAUAUGAUGUUGAAAAAAACUCUCAAACGCAGUUCUUCCUUGUUCUUGAUUAUUCUUUUUCAGGUAGUAUAAUAUUACCUUGUUAACAGCUUGUGCAGGCUCCCUUUUUAAGUCCAAGUCGUUUAAUUCUUCGAGCUCUAGACCAAAAGUGAGACCAGUGGAUGAUGUUAUGCCUAAGGAGGGGCUUUCUAGAAAAUUAGGUAGAUCAAUGUCAACUAGAUGUAUAGACGUAGGGAGCUCUGGUUGCAAUGACUCAAGAGUACAAGGUUCAAAGCAACUGAAAGAUCGGAGUACAGAAGCAUCCGGAGUCGAUCAGAAGCUAAUCUCACGUGGCAAUUCGUCCAGUUCCUAUGCAAAUAGUGCACGUGAUUUGAAGAGUUUGCAGUCUGAUGGUAAAGAAGGUAGCUUGACAAAGAAAGCCAGACAUCUAAGUCGAAACCGCCUGGAAGAUAUAGUUGCUUCUGGUACAUUUUCAUCUUACUGCUAUAUGCUUUUUGUUCUGCUAGUGAACUAUCUCCGCAUUUAAAGAUAUCAUGAUUGACACCUCGAGAUUUGUUUCUCACAUAUGCAGUGGGGGAUACACAUACGAAUGAAAAUAGCAAAGACGCUGUUGGUAGUCGCCGAAGGUCAUCUUUAAAAGACCUGUCAUCUCAAAAAAUUCAGACAGCCGAACCUGCUGAGACUUCAUGUUCCUCUGGAAGCAAUCUCUCUACCACGCGAAACAUUAGCGAGGAUGUUAAUAAAGGCAAUAGGUUGCGAGCAGCGGUCGAUGCUGCUCUCCGAAAAAAGCCUAGUUUCGGGAAGAACCGUGGUUUGGAGCAGUCUGAUUUGCCGUCAGUGUCUAAUGUGGAUUCUAGUUGCGAUAGGGCUCUUCAAAAUUUUCCCUCGAAGGUGCUGAGAGAUUGGCCUGUGGGAUUGCAAGGAGGGCAGGAGAUUGCAGUAAAUAGAAAACAGUCUACACUCGCUGGUGCUGAUGCAAUGGCUGCUCCUCAAUCUCUAGAGCCUGCAGUUCAUUUACAUUCGGUAAAGCCGGUCAUUAGAGAUUUGCCUGUGGGAUUGCAAAGAGGGCAUCCAAAUUUAAAUACCGACAAGCAGACGAUUGUAGUAAAUAGAAAACAGUCUACACUGGCUGGUACUGAUGCAAUUGCUGCUCCUCAAUCUGUAGAGCCUGUAGUUCAUUUACAUUCUGUAAAGCCGGUCAUGAGAGAUCUGCCGGUGGGAUUGCAAGGAGGGCAUCCAAAUUUACUGACAGACAAGCAGGCGAUUGCAGUAAAUAGAAAACAGUCUACACUCACUGGUGCUGAUGCAAUGGCUGCUCCUCAAUCUGUAGAGCCUGCAGUUCAUUUACAUUCUGUAAAGCCGGUCAUUAGAGAUUUUCCUGUGGGGUUGCAAAGAGGGCGUCCAAAUUUACAGACAGACAAGCAGACGAUUGCAGUAAAUAGAAAGCAGUUUCCACUCGCUAGUGCUGAUGCAAUGGCUGCUUCUCAAUCUGUAGAGCCUACGGUUCAUUUUCAUUCUGUAAAGCCUGUCAUGAGUGAUUUGCCUGGGGUUGACCCAUCUGUUCUGUCGACAACCUCAGCCAUCCCAGAGCCUGAAUACAUUUGGCAGUAUGGUUUUCAUUCCUUUUCGUGAAGAUCUCUGUUUUGGUUUUAUUGUUUUUGUUGAUAAACAUUAUUUUUCCUUUGACCAGAGGGGAGAUGGAGGUGCGGAAAAGCAGAAAUCUAUCGGCAAUGCAUUGUGGAAUGCAAGGGUAUCUAUCAACAUUAGCAUCACCCAAGGUUGCUGAAGUGGUGAACCAGUUUCCAGUAAAAGUGACCUUGAAUGAAGUACCCAGGCUAAGUACAUGGCCUUCGCAGUUUCAAGAUAUAGGUGCUAAGGAAGGCCAUGUGGCUCUUUUCUUCUUUGCCAAGGACAUCGUGAGGU